CACGUAGGGCGCAAGCGUUGUCCGGAAUUAUUGGGCGUAAAGAGCUCGUAGGCGGACUGUCACGUCUGCUGUGAAAAGCUGGGGCUUAACCCUGGCCUUGCAGUGGAUACGGGCAGACUAGAGGUAGGUAGGGGAGAAUGGAAUUCCCGGUGUAGCGGUGAAAUGCGCAGAUAUCGGGAGGAACACCGGUGGCGAAGGCGGUUCUCUGGGCCUUACCUGACGCUGAGUGAGCGAAAGCCAGGGGAGCAAACGGG
rnacentral:rRNA from 1 species